rnacentral:rRNA from 1 species
AAACCAGCACCUCAAGUGGUCAGGAUGAUUAUUGGGCCUAAAGCAUCCGUAGCCGGCUCUGUAAGUUUUCGGUUAAAUCUGUACGCUUAACGUACAGGCUGCCGGGAAUACUGCAGAGCUAGGGAGUGGGAGAGGUAGACGGUACUCGGGAGGAAGUGGUAAAAUGCUUUGAUCUCUCGAUGACCACCUGUGGCGAAGGCGGCCUACCAGAACACGUCCGACGGUGAGGGAUGAAAGCUGGGGGAGCAAACCGGAUUAGAAACCCGAGUAGUCC